CAGUGUUACAGCUCUCUUAAAAUUUAUCUAGCAGGUUUUCUGGUCUUCAAUGGAAAGCCCCC
rnacentral:snRNA from 1 species